CAAACAAAAGCAAACUGAGCUUCCACUUGAGCCCCUUUACCCAGGAGUAUCAUCGGGUGCAUCCAAAAUGGUUUCUUAGCCUAUGAUGCAUUAGGCGCAAACUGUGUACCUAUCUCGCAUCAAAACUAACUCUGUCUCCAAACAGACCGAAGCGAGAUUCCAUAUGACACAUGUCAUCUAGGAGUUCUAUUGGGGUGCGUCC
rnacentral:lncRNA from 1 species